rnacentral:other from 1 species
AUAACCCUGCCAGCUACGAGGCAGAGCUAAGAGCCUUGAGCCAACACUUUUUUUGAGGGAGCUGAACUCUCUUUAAGCACCUGCUUAAAGAGGAGGCGCCCCCGUGUAUGAGAACUGGACUUAAAGGCAAAGUUUCUGCCUCGGGCAAAGGCGGGGAUUUU